GGGAGCUGGUAUGUGCAGAGAUCACAUGGUGAGAGAGGAAGCAAAAGAGAGAGGAGAGGGAGGUGCUAGGUUCUUUUUAACAACCAGCUAUCAUGGGAACUACUAGAGCAAGAACUCACUCAUUACCACAAGGAUGGCACCAGGCCAUUCAUGAGGGAUUCACCCCCAUGACUCAAACACCUUCCAUCAAGCCUUAUCUACACCAUUGGGGAUCAAAUUUCAACAUGAGGUUUAGGGGGAAAUAUCCACAUUAUAAUAAUAUGUUAAAAGUUUUAUAAUUUCUUGGACAUCUUCAAAUACUUUUCUUUCUCCUUAACAGGUGCAUGACAUCUAGUUUGAAUAGAAGACUCCUGAAUUAUAACUCUUUUUCUUUCUGUAAUUCAUAGAUAUUAUUCCAGUCUUCUGCAUUCUAGUGUUGCAGGAUGCUCUUUAUUUAGAUGAGGAAGC
rnacentral:lncRNA from 1 species